rnacentral:rRNA from 1 species
CCGGUGAAGUGUUCGGAUCGCUGUGAUGCGAGUGGUUCGCCGCCCGUGACUCUGCGAGAAGUCCAUUGAACCUUAUCAUUUAGAGGAAGGAGAAGUCGUAACAAGGUUUCCGUAGGUGAACCUGCGGAAGGAUCAUUGUCGAGACCGAAACAUACUGAGCGAUUCGGAGAACCUGUGAACGACCAGCGGCGCCAGCCGUUGCGCAUUUGCCGUCUCCGUCGUCGGCCUCGUAAAGGGUGUCACGAUGAGAGGCGGACCAAAACUCAAAUCGGCGCAGCUACGCGCCAAGGGAAUAAAAUUAGACACGAGCCUGUAUCGGGUUCGGUGGCGUGGAGUGCAGUCGCACACCACACGGAUGAAACGACUCUCGGCAAUGGAUAUCUCGGCUCUCGCAUCGAUGAAGAGCGCAGCGAAAUGCGAUACGUGGUGCGAAUUGCAGAAUCCCGCGAACCAUCGAGAAUUUGAACGCAAGUUGCGCCCGAGGCCAUCCGGCCAAGGGCACGUCCGCCUGGGCGUCAAGCGUUACGUCGCUCCGUGCCAGCUCCAUCCCACCCUUAGGGUGUGUAUGCGGGAGGGUCGGAUGUGCAGAGUGGCUCGUCGUGCCCGCCCCGCGGGCAUGGCGGGCUUAAGAGCGGGUGAUCGUCUCGUUGGCCACGAACAACAAGGGGUGGAUGAAAAUUGUGCCUGUGUUGUAUCGUGCCGGCCUGAGAAGAGAUUGUACCUACCGAAUGAUCCCAGCCCAAGCGUCGGUCCACGGACAUCGGCUUGGAAUGCGACCCCAGGAUGGGCGAGGCCACCCGCUGAGUUUAAGCAUAUCAAUAAGCGGAGGAGAAGAAACUUACAAGGAUUCCCCUAGUAACGGCGAGCGAACCGGGGAAUUCUAAUCUCGGCAAUGGAUAUCUCGGCUCUCGCAUCGAUGAAGAGCGCAGCGAAAUGCGAUACGUGGUGCGAAUUGCAAAAUCCCGCGAACCAUCGAGAAUUUGAACGCAAGUUGCGCCCGAGGCCAUCCGGCCAAGGGCACGUCCGCCUGGGCGUCAAGCGUUACGUCGCUCCGUGCCAGCUCCAUCCCACCCUUAGGGUGUGUAUGCGGGAGGGUCGGAUGUGCAGAGUGGCUCGUCGUGCCCGCCCCGCGGGCAUGGCGGGCUUAAGAGCGGGUGAUCGUCUCGUUGGCCACGAACAACAAGGGGGUGGAUGAAAAUUGUGCCUGUGUUGUAUCG